rnacentral:tRNA from 1 species
AGCUCAGUUGGUAGAGCGUCAGCCUUCCAAGCUGAAUGUCGCGGGUUCGAAUCCCGUC